rnacentral:lncRNA from 1 species
UGCUUACUGUGAAUCAACUGUUCCUACCCACAGAAACCACAAUAAAGGCUCUUGUCCACAUUUUCCCCUUGUUCCCUCUGCCCCUAGGCUUACCCUGCUGCUUCCCCAUGUGGCCCUGCGUGAUGUGGCAUGCCCCCUCCUCUUGGGAACAAAAAGAAGCCUGUCCAUACCUGUUGCUCGCCUUGGUGAGAGGUUCAAAUGGGAAAAUCACUGGGAAAACACUUGGAGAACUCAACGCGCCAAGCGAAGGCACAGGUUCCGGUCGGAUCCCAGACACAGAUGUUUGCUCUACAAAUGUCCGUAGUUUGAGCCUCAGAGCAAACCUAGAUUCUAAUUCUGCUCUCUUGUUUCAUCCCUUCCUUCCUUCAUAUGUUCACUCAAUCAACACUAUUCUAGGCAUUGGAUAUACAGUGACAAACAAGCUAGACAAGGUCCCCACUUUCCAGAAGAACAUAGUCUAGGUGGAGCAACAGAAAAGAAGCAAAUAUAAAUACUUCCAGAGAGUAAUGAGUGAUAGGAAUUAAGCAAAGCACAGUUAUAGGAGAACCAGUUACUGGUUGUCAGGAGUGGGAUGUUACAUAAGGAGUUUAGGGGGC